GAGAUAACGGAGUGCGGCCUCUUGACGAUCCUGUAGGCUUCCGCUGCGGGGCCGGCAAUAGAGUUGCGGAACCGAGGGACGGCUGUCAACAAAACUGAUUGAUCAUAAUAUGGUUUUAUCACAAAAUCAUUUAAGGUAUAUGAUGAUCAGACUGCAUAUUUUUAAGCAAGAAAAGAAAAAAGCUAGAUCGUGUAGAGCAAAUUUAAUUACACACUAUUGCUAUGUUGGUAACGAUAACAGGGAAGAAGUUGGAAUGUGUACAAUCUAUAUGAGAUUUGGGUGUUAUGAUGGAUGACACGAUGGACUUUCAUUCACAGUAUGAACACAUAUCUAACAAAGCGAUGAAAAUGUUAGGAUUUAUAUGCAGAUCAAUAAAAGAUUUUACCAACAUUUUUUCUAUUAAAGUACUAUACUUUGAAUUGGUUAGAUCAGUGAUUGAGUAUUGCACUUGUAUCUGGUCUCCGAGACAUACUUCAACCACAGUUAUGAUACUGAGAAAGUUCAGAAUAAAUUUCUUAGAUAUGCUGCCUACAAAAUGAACAUGCCAGCUAGAAGUCAUUCGCUCUUUGAAAUUCGCUCUACUAUUGGAUUGCUCAAACUCAGUACAAGACGGGUACAUGCAGACAUAAUAUUCCCACAUAAAUUGUUGAACAACGAAAUUAAUUGCCCAACUUUUCUCCCGAGAAGGACAGGUAACAGGUAACAGGUAACAGGAAACGGAGCACUCUAAGAUAUACCCUACGUGUUAUAGAUCUAUAAGACAAUUUUUUUUAUCAUAAUUUUAUUUUAAUAUUCUCUUUGUAGGUUGAUUUAUUAGAUAUAUAGAUACUAGAAUAGUUAACUUUAUAAGGUUAAUAUAUUGUAUAAAAAUUGGGGGUUAUUCGUUAAUAAAUAAAUACAUUUUGAUGGGACGGGCCGUGCCGUGCCGGAUAAGUGGGCGAUAAGCUUUAGUCAUAUUCAAAAUUGUAUGUUAAUGAAACUAACAGAAUGGAUAUUAAAAAGGAUAUGAAUUCUACAGAGAAAUUUUUCAAUGUAAAGAAUAUGGUUCUCUUUUCUGUUAUAUUUCAUUAUCAUUCUUGAUGUGCAUUUUAGGUUUGUGUAAUUCCAACAAAUUAUGUUGACGUAUUCGUCUAAAAGUAUAAACUUUUGAAUAUUUUUCAUAUUUAUAUAAUAUAACUUUAUUAUUAUUUAUUAAUAUAAAUCA